GCUUUCCUCAAUCAGGUGUGAGGGGAGAGCUGGAGACAAAGCUGCUACAUGUAUUUGCUUCCACACAACUUUUUGUUGAUUCAAUGUUGUUGUUUUCUUUAUGCACUUUAAGUCUCCCUAUAUAAAUAUUAUUUGGAUCGUAAACCACCAGUGAGCCUGGAGCCAUGAAGUUGUCAUACAUUGAACUGUGAAUGGAAUUGGCCAGGUGACCCUUUUUGGGUUAAAAGGGUGGUGAGCUACUGGGAACCAGGAGGACCUGAAAAUCCCAAAUGAUGCUGGUUCAAACAGCUGCAUUUGUAUCCAUUUCACAUGACUGCUCCUCUGGGAUCACCCGGGUACAACCAAAGUCUUCAUCGACUUCAGCCAUUUCCAUCAAAUUUGAGGUCUGUGUUUUCCACCUCCGACUGAAAGGUUCCACAAAAGUCAAGUCAGACGUAGCAUCAUUGUCAUCUGAAAGACUGAUGGGGAAAGUCCAAACAGUUUUCCUCCCYAUGUCCUCCUUCGUUUAGGCAUCCUUUGAACAGAAACCAGCUUUGAACUGGUGACAAGCAGUUAAGGUUUCUGAUCUUGUCGUCUUGUUCUCUCUGGAGUUUGGUUACGAUACUGUUUUGAGCAAAGCYACAUCUGCCACCUCAGUAAUGUGUGGGUCGCUCUUCACUUUCUUUGCCGUGCUGGCAACUGUAAAGUGCUGAGGGUCUUCCUCAGUGCAUAAGGAGUAAUGUUGCAGAUGACAGUUUUAGCAUUUCCACCAAGAUGCGAGUCAACUUGCUGUGUCUGUAGUWAAUGAAACCCUUCUGGUUUUCGUCCGUUAGCUUCUUGACCACCUGACCAAGUGUGAAAAGACUGCAACUUUCUUUGAAGCGUGCACCCUCAGCUCCUGUUUGACUUGCUCUCUCAGACCCAGCAAGAUCCACUAAAUUUAAAUGAKACAAGAGGAUGGCUUCAUCAGUCUUGUCACUCGAUGCUGGAUCACUUUCCCAACUUUCUAAGAUCAUAAAAAAUAUGGCAUGUGAGUGACUGCUUCGUAGAUUCAUUUUUGUCUUUGCAUACUGAYGAUUUUCUACUUGUGAAGUAAAUUUAACCACCUCUGUCAGAUCAGCCACACAGUUGUUUUUAUUGUUUCUCUAACUUCCAAAGGUUUUCUAUUUCUGCUGUCAACAAGCAUGUCGGUCACAGUUGCUGAUUUCCAUAUAAGACACUCUAAGAAGGAACUCCUUAUUUGAAACAGAUUUAAUAGUUUUAAAGACAUCUUCCACUGCCAAAGGAAUGACUCCAAGGUUAUGGUCAUCAUAGUGAAAGUCUUUCCAGAGGAAGUCUGUCUGUAGGCAAACACAGUUCCGUUGGUGGAAAYAACCAGAGGGUUUACAAAAGCCUGAUAAACCCGAGUGGUUUCUUCAGCUAUGAACACCCGGUCAACUGUAUUUUUAUUAUAUAUU